GACGAACGCUGGCGGCAUGCCUAAUACAUGCAAGUCGAGCGAACAGAUGAAGUGCUUGCACUUCUGACGUUAGCGGCGAACGGGUGAGUAACACGUAAGGAAUCUACCUAUAAGCGGGGGAUAACAUUCGGAAACGGGUGCUAAUACCGCAUAAUAUCUUCUUCCGCGUGGAAGAAGAUUGAAAGACGGCUCUGCUGUCACUUAUAGAUGACCUUGCGGUGCAUUAGUUAGUUGGUGGGGUGAUGGCCUACCAAGACGAUGAUGCAUAGCCGACCUGAGAGGGUGAUCGGCCACAUUGGGACUGAGACACGGCCCAAACUCGUACGGGGGGCAGCAGUAGGGAAUCUUCCGCAAUGGGCGAAAGCCUGACGGAGCAAUGCCGCGUGAGUGAAGAAGGCCUUCGGGUCGUAAAACUCUGUUAUAAGAGAAGAACAAAUUGUAGAGUAACUGCUACAGUCUUGACGGUAUCUUAUCAGAAAGCCACGGCUAACUACGUGCCAGCAGCCGCCGUAA
rnacentral:rRNA from 1 species